rnacentral:piRNA from 1 species
UUAGGUCAUGUGGUAGUAGGCUACGCCA